rnacentral:rRNA from 1 species
UUUUUAAAUAAGAAAAUUCCUUUCGGGGAAAUUUCUUAGAUUGCUUCCUUCAGUACCUUAUGAGAAAUCAAAGUCUUUGGGUUCUGGGGCGAGUAUUCGCGCAAGCGAGAAAGUUAAAAGAAUUGACGGAAGGGCACCACCAGGCGUGGAGCUUGCGGCUUAAUUUGACUCAACACGGGGAAACUCACUAGUUUAAGACAAGAGUAGGAUUGACAGAUUAAUAGCUCUUUCUUGAUUUCUUGGAUGGUGAUGCAUGGCCGUUUUUAGUUCGUGAAUAUGAUUUGUCUGGUUAAUUCCGAUAACGAACGAGAUCUUAACCUGCUAAUUAGCGGCGAAUACGUUAUAUUCUUAUGUGAAAUUGAAUAUAGCUGAAUUUGCUUAUUUUGAAGAAUACACUAGGAUACAAUUAU